AUUACACAAACUCUACAGAUGACCUCAGCCUCUUCUGGAGUUUGACAGCGAGAAAAACAAAACAUAAAUCGAGCACAAAAAUGUUAAUCCUUUGUGUUUUUAUUUAGUGAAGGUGGAGACAGCUUGAUUGCGAAAGCAAGUCUGAUGUAGGUGAUCCAGAAAAUGACCCAUUGACAGAAUCCUACAGAAAUGACCUUAAAUGCUACUAGCACCAUGAUCCCCUCCUCCACCGCCAACCUCUGCCCGCUCCAUGUGCUCCAUGUGCUCAAUGCGCUCGUACUUUUGGUCAUGUUAGCGUUUUAAAAAGCUUUCCUUUUACUGAUUUUUUUUAAAUUUCCUUUUUGUUGUUUUUUUUGGAUACAUUCUUAUCUUUCAGAUGGUUACAUAAAUAUAGUAAGCAUGAUUUAAAAUCAUAAAAUUUAUUUUUAAAAUGAGAGAAUCGUCUUGUUACGCCUCUAUGCAGAUGAUGUCAUCUGUUAUCUCUAAACUGUGAUGUAUCAACAAUUUGAAGAUCUCUCUCAGAAGACUUGGAACAACUUGUUGUUUAUUUGGAAAUGUCUUUAAAAAAUGUUCAAUAAAUAGAAGUUUACUUCAACUGUAA